rnacentral:rRNA from 1 species
GAUGAACGCUAGCGGCAGGCCUAAUACAUGCAAGUCGAACGAGAUUACGAGGCUUGCUUCUUAUGAAAGUGGCGCACGGGUGCGUAACGCGUAUGCAACCUACCUUAAUCAAGGGGAUAGCCCGAAGAAAUUCGGAUUAAGCCCGCAUAAAAACACAGGAUAGCAUUAUCCAAUGUUCAAAUAUUUAUAGGAUUAAGAUGGGCAUGCGUGUCAUUAGCUAGUUGGCGGGGUAACGGCCCACCAAGGCGACGAUGACUAGGGGAUCUGAGAGGAUGACCCCCCACACUGGUACUGAGACACGGACCAGACUCCUACGGGAGGCAGCAGUAAGGAAUAUUGGUCAAUGGAGGGAACUCUGAACCAGCCAUGCCGCGUGCAGGAAGACAGCCCUCUGGGUCGUAAACUGCUUUUAUUCGGGAAUAAACCUUUCUACGUGUAGGAAGCUGAAUGUACCGAAGGAAUAAGGAUCGGCUAACUCCGUG